rnacentral:lncRNA from 1 species
AUAUAGUGCAGAGCAAAGCAGCGUUUGAACUGAUGGCAGCACUAAUGACUCUCGGUGAAACAGUGAAAAGAUAAAUGAUCCUUAAUCAGGAAAAUGUUUAAAUAAGCAAGUGCCUGGAUAUACCACAGCAAAACAACCUGAAUUCAUUUAAGUAAAUGAAGAAGAAAAAAAGAAGCAGUAAACUGCCCCUUCUACCAAUGUCUAAGAUGAACGGGAAAAAUGCAUAUAAAUGGAAUUUUUCUUUUACGAUUGCAAUAAGGUUCUUUGCAGUUGAAGCACUGAAAUGACAGCUGUUUAUCAUUAUCCUCAUCAAGGAAAUGUAAAAUAAAAAUAGUAAUUUGUCUCUGAUCUUUGAGGCAAAAAAGAAUGGUCUGCAAACAUUUAACCUUUUAUGUGCAGGUUCAAUGAUGCUGUUUAAAAAACGUGAAUAAUAUUGUAGAAACCAGCUUGUUUCUAAAAAAUACAAUAGACAGUCCUUCCUAUUGCAGUUUUUAAAAAUAGCUAUUGAGAAAUCUAAUUUAACCAAUAAAAACACCAGCAUUGUAAA